CCUACGGGAGGCAGCAGUAGGGAAUAUUGCUCAAUGGGGGAAACCCUGAAGCAGCAACGCCGCGUGGAGGAUGAAGGUUUUCGGAUUGUAAACUCCUUUUGUCAGAGAAGAUAAUGACGGUAUCUAACGAAUAAGCACCGGCUAACUCCGUGCCAGCAGCCGCGGUAAUACGGAGGGUGCAAGCGUUACUCGGAAUCACUGGGCGUAAAGAGCGCGUAGGCGGGGUAGCAAGUCAGAUGUGAAAGCCUAGGGCUUAACCAUAGAACUGCAUUUGAAACUGUUAUUCUAGAGUAUGGGAGAGGUAGGUGGAAUUCUUGGUGUAGGGGUAAAAUCCGUAGAGAUCAAGAGGAAUACUCAUUGCGAAGGCGACCUGCUAGAACAUAACUGACGCUGAUGCGCGAAAGCGUGGGGAGCAAACAGGAUUAGAUACCCUAGUAGUC
rnacentral:rRNA from 1 species